GGUACUGCUCCUGCGCAGUAAAGCCUUCUCCAAAGAGGCGGGGGUCUCAGCCUGGUUCUUCCUUGUUCCUCGUCCUCUGAGGUAGCAACUGCCUCAUCUUUUCCAUCUAUGGAGUGUGGAAUAUGUGCCCUACUUCAUUCAGGAAUGUUGGACAAACCAGCUAUUUAGAGAGUGAAGGAGAGGAACUUCCGAGAGCAACCGGCCCCCAAGAGAAACCCAGGGACUCCUGCCCUUCGGCAGCUUUGUCCAUGUGCUGCUCACACCAAAAAGCACUCGAGGGUGACCUGCACCAAAAAUGCAUUGCCGUAGUCUGGGCACAGUGGAUCACGCCUGUAAUCCCAGCUCUUUGGGAGGCCAAGGCACUGUGCUAAGUUGGACUUACAGAGAUGAAUAAGAUUUGGCCACAUCUUCAAGGAGCUCAGACCUUCAUGGACGUACCAAAUAUAUACAGAACUAACUCUACUGCUUAUCAUAAUGAGAGCUGUGCUAUGGAUAUUUGAAAGUUAGAGAGAUUUAUUUUCAACAGAAUAAUAAAGUCAACUUUCACAAACUGGUGACAGAUGAUCUGGGCCUUGCAGACAGGGGAGGACUGACAGAUUGAGAAGAGUAUUUGGUUAAAAACGGAUCAUAAACUGGUAUAAAUAUCUAAACAAACUCAUGAGAAUGAGCAGAGUCAGACACAAUAAAAUAAUUCAAAGAUAUAUCAGAUAAACCUGGACCCAAAAGUCAUGACUUUUUCUUUUCAGUUAACUCUGAACAAUUUACAAUAACUUCCUCAAUUAUUGUUUGUCUCAUUUUAACAUUUUGUAAUAACACCUAUGUCUCCAUAUUGGUAUGAAGAUUAAAUGAAAAUACAUCUAUGUUAGAUAGUCCCUAAGUUUCUGUCCCUGAUAUAAGUCCACCCUCCCCACCAUCAUGUGAUCACACGCAGGUGCACAUGCACAGAUGUAUACAUGCAUGCCGUUAUGGGGACAGUAAUUGCAAAUAUCAAUACUGUUAUGGUUGUUACUUCAGCCAUUGCACAAGUGUAGACCUCUGGAUCAACACACAUACGUAUGUGUAUGUGUAACAAAUAUAUGGCUAAUAAUGCAUAGGUUUCAUAGCUAUACCUUGAAAUCAAUUUAUUAAAGGGAUGUGUCCUUCCCAUGCUGACUCACCUACUGCGGCCCAAAAGCAACAACGUAAACUGCCCUGGAUAAAACAUCUGCAGACAAGAGAUCUCUAAGCUAAGCUACAGCUUCAUCAAGCAUGGAGUUAUCUCAUUUCAUAGCUUCACACACACAAAGGCGCGCGCACACACACACACACACACACACAGCUCUCAGCUGGAGACCGUCAGGGAAAACAAGUACCAGUGAGACCUGGGGAUCUUCAUUUGAUUUUGUCUACUGGGUGAGGCUGUGUUGAAAACACUUUGACAGAGGGCUCUUCUCUUGGGGCUCAUCAAAUAUUGCUGGUAGAGGGUUUGCUUGCUUUAAAUAUUCCUUUCCUCAGGUAACGAAGAAUACCAUGUAAUUUGUAAUGAUAACUUGGAUAAUGAAUGCACACUGUAGUCAGCCAUUACCAGUGGUAAUUGGUCUUCCUUUCAUCUCCUGUCAAGCAGAGUGGUUAGGAUUAGGACCAAAAGGCAGCUAUCAUCUCUCUCAUUUCCUGACUCAGACAAAAGGCAAAAAAAAAAAGGUGCCUGCUUGUGCUGAUAGGUGUCUGAUCAAAGCGGCUGAAAGCUGUCAGAAGCCAGCCAGCCUCAGCACCUGACUACUCCUUAAUGCAGCUUUGCCUUUGAUGUACAGGCAGUCCAACCGGGGUUCUAUUUAUGUAAAAAAAAAUAAUCAGGAUUGUAAUAGAACAGGAGAAAGUGUCAUUUUCUAUUUUGAUUCCAGUUUUGCAGUCUGACACCUAUAGGAAAUGUGGACUAAUUCUGUCCAGAGUAUGGUGUGUGUGUGUGUGUGUGUGUGUGUGUGUGUGUGUGUGUGUGUAACUCAAUAAAAUAAAAUAUCUUUGAAACUUCAUCAAAUACAUUUGGCAGUGAGCAGAAGUUAGAUUGCUGGUAGAAAGAAAUUAUCCUUCUUGGAAAGUAAAAAAAAAAUGCUUAAGUAAAAUUGCAGCAGUUUUGACAUGUGUAUUUUAUGUUUCAGAAAUUCUACAGGUUAUAGGUUUAUAAAUGGAGAACUGGUCUUGGAUUUAAAUGAAUUGGCAUCGUAUCUCAGACUUCUAGCUUUCUACCCAUGUGAAUUUAGGUGCGUACUAAUCACAUAUGUGUUUUAAGUUUAUCACUGGCUAUAUACAUGGUUACUUUUGUAUAUGCCUGUGCAUUGAAUGAAAAUACCUGGCAUGUGGUUGUUAUAAGCAAUAGACAGUUUUUGGCCAGAGAGCCAGGCAGACAAGUGUUAAUAUCACUUAAGCCCUCUGUG
rnacentral:lncRNA from 1 species